UGAUGAUGAUUGCUUGUGUUGCAGUCGAAACGUCGUGAGAAUUGUAUUGUUUUAUAUUUUUAUUAUUUUAUUGUUUCCCUUCUAUGUGACUUUACCGAAAGAACCAAGAAUAUAAUUGCCACGUAGGCAAUAUAUACACGAAGCAAACUCCAACAAACAGAAUUGAAAACGCGAAAAUGCUCUGGAGAGAGUGGCAGACCCAUGGCCAUGCUUCCCCCUGUACCUGCAUAACUACAGGCAGGCGCACUGUCGUAAUGAAUGCCGAGUUCAAGCCCGGGUUAUGUGGCAAUAUAGCCAGGUUAUUCAGGUGCUUUAUAAAACAUAGAGUAUUUCAAUUCAAUUGUGCUGUAUACAUAUUCGGCCGUGCUCAUUUAAACUCUGUAUACCAUUAUAUAUAUUUCUAAAGUUACGCGCCACUGAGUACAGGCAGACCUCUCUUAACGCUAACCCCGCUCUUAGCGCUACUCUGCUCAAUGCUGACUCUUUGUCCUGGAGAAGAAAAAUAAAUGUUACUUGCAAAAAAACUAUAUUUGACAUAAUGUGGACAGCGCUCACGAGUGAGAGCAGGCAGCCAGCCACCCCGUCGUUCGCUCAGCCAAUAUAGCAGCCAAUAACAAAAAGUCAACACGAUCGUCAAUAUCUGCCCAAAAAUCUCUCUAUAUAUACAGGCAUUCCUCUAUAUACGAGCAAACCUGUCCGUGUGUCCAGUUGCCAGUCGUAAGUUCAAUCGCCGUGCAAUAGAUGGCGGUGCUCGCAUCAAUAUCUGCAGAACAUGAAGAAUCAGUGGCGUCUACAUCUACAAGGAGAUUAUACAGCUUUCAAAGCCAUUCCCCGUGUUUAGUGUGCAUGCCGUACAACAUGUUUGCAAGCGACAGGACUAAAAUUGGACUUCGAACAAAUUGCCUUAUGAACAGACCUCUGGAACCUAACUCGUUCGUAAGUAGAGGAGUCCCUGUAAAUAUAAUAGGUGACAUAGCAGAGAGAUGAUCCGAGCUGUGAUUGGAUGUAAUCCAUCACAUGUAGCUUAUUUCAACUCAAAUCUCAUUCACUGUAACCUGAACGCUUUAAUUCGGCAAAGUGUCGAUGAAUGUAGACAAUGUUAUCCUGUUUGUGAGUAAAAUACUUGUUUUUUUUGGAAGGGCUAUAUAUCUUUUUAAUCCACUCUUUAGAAUUUCAAAACAACUUUUAUUCGGUAAGAUUAUCAGAUAACAAAAAGUACAUUUACAAAGCCAACUGGUGACUCCGCAACACCGCAGCAGCAGCCCACAGGCUUUGUAUGAAUCAGUGUUACACGUGUCUUGUAAAUCGUACGCCGCAUUCCGUGUGUAAUUUUACUCUUUAGAAGACAUAUAUUUUUGAAAUUGCAAAGGGUAAGACGUUUGACUCGCUGGCAAGUUUAUCUAAAAUGUUCAGUGACGUGCUCUUCGCAGAUAGGGUUGUGUGGCCGCUUGAGACUGUACGGAGAUGCUUUAUUUUUUUAUUUUGAUGAUAUUUUAUCUUCUGCUUGGUAGCCCAUCGUCGUAAGCGACGAUGGCAAAAGUAUGCCACGUCGCUUGUGGACGAUAAUAGUACAUCGGACAGUAAGAGUAUCGUGCAGUUCGCUCUAGGUUGGCGGGUCUCGAUACGUUUCACUCUCAUUGGGGCUCAACGGCAAGUUAUCAUCCCUCACCCUAGCAAAAAAAUGCCAGGGUGAGCAGCGCGUAGCGAUUUAAGGUGAUGACUUCUGAUGAGGGUGAAAUCCUCCCUCCGUCACUGCCUGAAUUCUCUCCCGGCAGGCCUGUUGGCUUAAACUGCUGCAUAAUAAUUAAGCUUGCCAGCGAAUAUCAAGUACCCUUUAUUUUUCAUGUUUUGUUUAUAUAAAGCUCGCUGAAGCGGUAUUAUCAAAAUGUAAGUUUAUUAUAUGCCUAUCGGAUGAAAUAUGUAAAGCCAUGUUGUAUGCAGUUCAUCGCGAUUGCGUUUUGCGAGUGCCAAGUCGUUCUUUUGCCAGCUCUCGGGCAUUGUGCUACCACUUUUAACCUCGGCUGCCAGUGGCCCCGAUGUGUUUAACAGCCUGCACUGGCAUUUCCAAUCGCCGCGUUAUACUUCAUCAGUGGCCAUACCCCUGUAAGGGAACAUUCUAUCAGCUGUUGAGCAUGCGCCUCCGAGGAAGCUAAAGAGGUCCCAGGACGCUGGGUUACUUUGAAAACUACCAGAGGUGAUACUUGAAUCAUGGCCCGGUGAACUGACUUAGGUAUGUUCUGGCAGUUGCUACCAUAGGGCUAUAUCCAAAUAAAAGUGUUUUUUUCUUUUUGGAAUAUUUACCAAGCUGAAUAAAUUUUAAAAAACUCAA